rnacentral:tRNA from 1 species
UGGAAAGUAGCUCAUUGGGUAGAGCAGCUGGCUCAUAACCAGUCGGUAGCAGGUUCGAAUCCUGCCUUUCGAU